GCCACUACUGUCAGAUGAGUAAGCAGGUAAUGAAUUUCAACGAGGUAUGACUUUAUUUCAUCAGACUGCACCUGCACUUUGUUUAAGCAUUUUUGGAAUGCUAGAAUAAAUAAUUGCUCUUCUGGUUAUAGAAACAAUCCUAUUUUUAACCAGUAUAUUCACUUCAGAUGGGUCUUGCAGAUAGUUUCUUUGCAGCCAUUAUGAAGAUUUCUAAGAUAAUCUGAGAAAGAGUGUAACCUGAUUACAACUGAAUUUUGCAAGUAAUAUUCAGAAAAUGAUUGCACCUAACUGCUGAAGGAGCUUGAUUCUGGAUAGCUCUGAGUAUCCCUUGUACUUAUAAUUACCUUCUGUAAUUUUAUCAGAUUUGGUCUGAGCCUCUGAACAACUAAGAACUCUUCUCUCUUUUUGGUGGUAGUAUUUACCAGAGUUGAGACCAUGGAAAACUGGGGUUGAUAAGCCCUUGAAGGAAUCAAGCUAUCAGGAAGGAAAGCAUCUGUUGCUAGGUCCCUUAGGAAGAGAAAAAAGUUAAUGUAAAAGUGCUCUGGAAAACUCAGGAUCAUUAGCUAUUUUUUAAAGAAUAAAUUUCAGUAGUGUUGUUUGCCAAAUGCAGAGUGAGUUUGUAGAAAAACAUUUAACUUAAUGACUUUUUAAUCUACAGGAUCUUAUUGCAAGCUUUCUCUUUUGAGAAGAACUUCAAGGUUCGAGCUGCCUCUCCUCGGUCACACCUGCACGGGUCCUUGACGCGCAGCCCACCAGGAGGUCAGUGCUGCUCGUCCCAGGAGGAGAUGCCCCUGAACAUGCUGCCUUCCUGUCACCUUCCCAUGUUGCCAGUGGUUUUGUCCCCUAAAAAAAACCCAACACACUAACUCAUUACUUCAUUUUAUCCGUGUUAAAUAGCAUAUGGUUCCCACUGAAAUUAGACUUUCAAAAUAAUGAUUUAUGACCAAAUCUGAACAGCUAAUUAAGCUAAUCCUUUGAUUUUUUUUUAAGUUUAUUUCUAGUACAAUUUUCUUACUACCACUUUUUCUGUCCUUGUGAGAGGAUGUAAUUUUGU
rnacentral:lncRNA from 1 species